UAUGAUGGAACUCGUUGCUCAUGGCAGCCAGCAUGAUGCAGCGCACCGUGGUCUGGUCACUGAGCCACUUCUGGUAAGUGUCUCUGACUGUUCCACAUGCAUUGACAGCUGGCUUCUCAGGUGCAGGAUCCAUUAUCACAUAUAGGAUCCAUUCAUACUCCAGGACAAUCUUCAACUUUCGGUACCAGCUACCGAAGUUGGGUCCCACCAAAAUUUUACUGUCCAACA
rnacentral:lncRNA from 1 species